rnacentral:rRNA from 1 species
GCGGUACCAUAACCGUGCAAAGGUAGCAUAAUCACUUGUCACCUAAAUAGUGACUUGUAUGAACGGCUAGAUGAGGGCCCAACUGUCUCCUACAACCAAUCAAUGAACCUGACCUCUCAGUACAAAGGCUGAGAUAUACACAUAAGACGAGAAGACCCUGUGGAGCUUUAAGUGCCACACUAAUGCUAACACAAAAUAGUAUAAGCUUUAAGUUGGGGCGACUGCGGAGUACAACAAAACCUCCGUGAACACGAAUAUGUGUCGUAAAAGACCAACGCGUCAACACUAUUGACCCAGUAAUACUGAUCACCGAACCAAGUUACCCCAGGGAUAACAGCGCAAUCUUCUUCAAGAGUCCUUAUCGCCAAGAAGGUUUACGACCUCGAUGUUGGAUCAGGACUCCCAGGUGGCGCAGCCGCUACCAAAGGUUCGUUUGUUCAACGAUUAAUGUCCUACGUGAUCUGA